CCAAAUCUUACAAACAGUGAUCCUAACAAUAUUCCACAUCCAAUCAAAACUUGCAAACUCACGGUUGGCCGGCCAGCAGCCGAGAAAUCGUUGUCAAUAGGGUACAGGUUCCCUGGUGGACCAGUUACGUAAAUAAAGGAUGGUGCGGGUGGGGGUGGAGGGCAGUAACCUGAUGGUGGCUUCUUUGGAGUCGGUGGUGGCAACUCUGGUGGAGGAGGUGGUGGUGGACACAAUACUGGUGGAGGAGGCGAUGGUGGUGGAGGACUUGGAUUACAUGGCGUGCACUUCUCUUCAGUUGGUGCAGGCACGGUGGUCUCAUCAAGCUUCCUUGAAUCUAAGCCGUGAACGGGUGCCGCAACAAAAAGAAACAUGCUUAGUAGCAUCAAAGAGUUGAAAAAACUCAUUCUUAACAGCAUAAUGAGGCUAGCUAGAAGUUAGAGAAUUGCUAGAGAGAUCAAUAUGGUGGAAGGAUUGAAGGAAAGGGGGCUUGAUAAGAGCUG
rnacentral:lncRNA from 1 species